rnacentral:lncRNA from 1 species
GCACAGUGAGGGGCAGUCAGUUGGAGGACCUAACAGUGCCUUCUGCCCCUGGCACAUUCGCCACAGAAGAAGACUGCUCUGGGACUCACCAGUAUGGGAUGGUGCUGUGGCAGCAGUCUCCUUGGAGCUCACUGGAUCCUUAGAAUUAUUUUGUGAUGCUUGUUCUGCAUCUUGAAAUGACGACCUGUGCCUCUGGGACUCAGCUGCAAGGAAGACAAGUGGAAGUGCACUGGAUGGAUGGAUGAAGGCACUCUCCCAGGCUUCCAACUCUCGGUGUGGGCUGUGCCCGCCAGCCCACUUUGUACAGCUCAGACAGGCUGGAAUUCUCCAAGAAUAACCUCACAGGAAAUCAACGAAAUGAACAAAGAGAAUGCAAACAGCUGAACAACAGAUGUGCUUACUGAAUGCAGGUACCUAAUCCUAAAACAACCAAAGUCUCGCCACCAUGGCUGGCCAGGUCUGGGUUCCUCCCCAACUACUCCCAGGCCCCGCCAGAAAAGACCCUCCCAAGUAAAGCUUUUUGAUAUCUCC